rnacentral:rRNA from 1 species
GCAGAGCACUCCUACGGGAGGUAGCAGUGAGGAAUAUUGGACAAUGGGCGAGGGCCUGAUCCAGCCAUGCCGCGUGCAGGAAGAAUGCCCUAUGGGUAGUAAACUGCUUUUAUACGGGAAGAAAAGGGGCACGUGUGCCCUGUUGACGGUACCGUAAGAAUAAGGACCGGCUAACUCCGUGCCAGCAGCCGCGGUAAUACGGAGGGUCCGAGCGUUAUCCGGAAUUAUUGGGCGUAAAGCGCAUGUAGGCGGCUUUUUAAGUCUGAUGUGAAAGCCAGUGGCUCAACCACUGAAUUGCAUUGGAUACUGGAAAGCUAGAAUCUUGGAGAGGUAAGUGGAAUUUCAUGUGUAGCGGUGGAAUGCGUAGAUAUAUGAAGGAACACCAAUGGCGAAGGCAGCUUACUGGACAAGUAUUGACGCUGAGAUGCGAAAGUGUGGGUAGCAAACAGGAUUAGAUACCCUGGUAG